UAAAGCUAAUAAGGGACCCAAAGGCAAGUUCAGGACUGGAAAAAUGAGUCCCAAAGAAUCCUGAUUUUACCUCCCUCUCUGGAGUCUGCAGGUGAUCUGUGAGACAAACUCCAUGCCACCUGUCCACACUGUCCAGCUCCUCACAGCAGCACGACAGGUGACAGCCAGGGGCCCAAACCCAGCCACCUCUGAGAUGCCUGCAGGAGUCAGGAGGCUGCUGCUGGUCACUUCUCACAGCAAGUCCCAAGACUGCAAACUUUGGGCAGAGGUCCUGCUGCCUGAGUGUGUGUUCCAAUGCAUCCUGCGGAUAAGGCAGAUAGGGGGAGAAAGAAACAACAACAACAACAACCCAAACCCGACGUGGAGUGAAGAAUUCAUUUUGCUUCCACUCCUUUUGAAUUAGCCUAUUCAUUGACUUCUGGAUCCUGGGUCAAGCAAAGCCUACAAGCAGGAGGAGCUGCUUAGCCUGAGGCACAGCAUUCCCAGAAGGGUAUGGACUGCCCUGGAAUUGCCUGAGCAUCACUGAUGACAUCCCUGCAGCUGGAGGACAUUUGUAACGGGUCCAUCUGAAAGGCAGAGGGAUGGAGCCUGUUUCCUGGGCAGAGAAGUUCUGAGAAGUGGCUGCAGUUCACAGGGACACCUAAUCUGGACGUGGCUCUGAUCUGGCUCUGGAAUGUGUCAUUCACCUUUGAAAUCUUGGCUCAGCGUGGGUGGAUCGAUGGACAAGGCUGCUUGGUGUGUGGCUCUGGAGGACAAGAUCAUGCCAGGCAGCAGGUGAGGAGGAACUCCACUGGGAGCCAGAUCACAGCUUCCCAGCCCUGCCAAGCCUUGUCCCACACACUUCAUAAGCAAUGGCAGGUCUGGAGCAAACUUCUUCCCAGGGGUGAAAAGGCUACAUUAGACAUUCACUAGCAGCAAAUGGCAGCUGACAUCUCUUUAAGUGAAGCUUGGAAUUUCUUUCC